rnacentral:lncRNA from 1 species
AUGGAUGAAGAAGAGAAAACCUACAAUGCUUGUGAAAGCCCUAAUGCCAUGAUAUCAAACAGAUAUAUCCUGAGUCAUAAAUUUGUUGUAAAAGGAGAACAUGCACAAACCUCAGCAACAAUGAAACCCGUUUGAGUGAUCCAGGUCAUUUUUCUGAGGAGGAAAGCAUUGAGGUCAAUUUGAGAGACAUCCCUUCACAAGUGCAGCCAAAAGUAUGCACAUAUUUUACCUAAAUAUUUCACUGAAUGUACAGUUCCACAGAGAUUCCUAAAUUCCCAUUUUACCUGAAGCUGCACUAGAACUGCUGAUGGCUGUGAACUUUCUAGAUUGCAU